AUUGAACGCUGGCGGCAGGCCUAACACAUGCAAGUCGAGCGAGCGGCGGAGGGGGGAGGAAGGUAGGGGGACUGCCCGAUAGAGGGGGAUAACUAGGGGAAACGGUAGCUAAUAACGCAUACUAUCGGAUAACCCAGAUGGGAUUAGCUAGUAGGUGAGGUAAUGGCUCACCUAGGCGACGAUCCCUAGCUGGUCUGAGAGGAUGAUCAGCCACACUGGGACUGAGACACGGCCCAGACUCCUACGGAGGCAGCAGUGGGGAAUAUUGGACAAUGGGCGCAAGCCUGAUGCAGCCACGCCGCGUGUAUGAAGAAGGCCCUAGGGUUGUAAAGUACUUUCAGUCGGGAGGCGUUACCGACAGAAGAAGCACCGGCUAACUCCGUGCCAGCAGCCGCGGUAAUAC
rnacentral:rRNA from 1 species